rnacentral:rRNA from 1 species
UACGUAGGGGGCAAGCGUUGUCCGGAAUCAUUGGGCGUAAAGAGCGCGUAGGCGGCCCGAUCAGUCCGCUGUGAAAGUCAAGGGCUUAACCCUUGAAUGCCGGUGGAUACUGUCGGGCUAGAGUCCGGAAGAGGCGAGUGGAAUUCCUGGUGUAGCGGUGAAAUGCGCAGAUAUCAGGAAGAACACCUAUGGCGAAGGCAGCUCUCUGGGACGGUACUGACGCUGAGACGCGAAAGCGUGGGGAGCGAACAGG